GCUUAACACAUGCAAGUCGAGCGAGAAUCGUUUUGCUGAAGGCUUCGGUCCGAUGCAGAAUGAGGAAAGCGGCGAACGGGUGAGUAACGCGUGGGCAACCUGGCCUUAAGAAAAGGAUAGCCCCCGGAAACGGGGAGUAAUACUUUAUGAGAAUAGAAAAGGGCAUCCUGUUUCUAUUCAAAGCGCAAGCGCUUAAGGAUGGGCCCGCGUAUCAUUAGCUAGUUGGUGAGAUAACAGCCCACCAAGGCAACGAUGGUUAGCCGGACGAAGAGGGCGAACGGCCACAUUGUAACUGAGAGACGGUACAAACUCCUACGGGAGGCAGCAGUGGGGAAUAUUGUGCAAUGGAGAAGAACUCUGACGCAGCAAUACCGCGUGAGCGAAGAAGGUCUUCGGAUCGUAAAGCUCUGUUAUCAGGGAAGAAGAAAAUGACGGUACCUGAUGAGCAAGUCCCGGCUAACUACGUGCCAGCCGCCGCGGUAAUAC
rnacentral:rRNA from 1 species